rnacentral:rRNA from 1 species
GACGAACGCUGGCGGCGUGCCUAAUACAUGCAAGUUGAGCGCUGAAGGUUGGUACUUGUACCAACUGGAUGAGCAGCGAACGGGUGAGUAACGCGUGGGGAAUCUGCCUUUGAGCGGGGGACAACAUUUGGAAACGAAUGCUAAUACCGCAUAAAAACUUUAAACACAAGUUUUAAGUUUGAAAGAUGCAAUUGCAUCACUCAAAGAUGAUCCCGCGUUGUAUUAGCUAGUUGGUGAGGUAAAGGCUCACCAAGGCGAUGAUACAUAGCCGACCUGAGAGGGUGGUCGGCCACAUUGGGACUGAGACACGGCCCAAACUCCUACGGGAGGCAGCAGUAGGGAAUCUUCGGCAAUGGACGAAAGUCUGACCGAGCAACGCCGCGUGAGUGCAGAAGGUUUUCGGAUCGUAAAACUCUGUUGGUAGAGAAGAACGUUGGUGAGAGUGGAAAGCUCAUCAAGUGACGGUAACUACCCAGAAAGGGACGGCUAACUACGUG